rnacentral:rRNA from 1 species
GGGGAAUAUUGCACAAUGGGGGAAACCCUGAUGCAGCAACGCCGCGUGAAGGAUGAAGGUUUUCGGAUUGUAAACUUCUUUAGUCAGGGACGAAAAAAAUGACGGUGCCUGAAGAAUAAGCCACGGCUAACUACGUGCCAGCAGCCGCGGCAAUACGUAGGUGGCAAGCGUUGUCCGGAAUUACUGGGUGUAAAGGGCGUGUAGGCGGGAAUGUAAGUCAGAUGUGAAAUCCCAGGGCUUACCCUGGAGCUGCAUCUGAAACUAUGUUUCUUGAGUGCCGGAGAUGAAAGCGGAAUUCCUAGGGUAGCGGUGAGAUGCGUAGAUAUUAGGAGGAACACCAGUGGCGAAGGCGGCUUUCUGGACGGUAACUGACGCUGAGGCGCGAAAGCGUGGGGAGCAAAC